GAACCAUAUGACGAAUCUGGAUUCAAAUUCUCACGACGGUCGUCUGAGACGCAUUACGUGUCCAACUGAUGCAAUGAUCCAUUUUUUCUGAUGGUC
rfam:Cucumis sativus cultivar 9930 chromosome 3, whole genome shotgun sequence.